rnacentral:lncRNA from 1 species
GAAAAAGAAAAGCUUAGGAUUUUCUAGGGAAAAAAAGAGAGAGAGAGAGAUCAUCUUUUCUAGCUAAAGAAUAGAAGCUUUUAGAUUAUUCCCCGGGAAGGUUUAUAGGGAAAAUAAAUAACUCUAAGAAGAAUGGCAUGUCUAUUAUGCGGCUGUUAUUAAGAUUUCAAAAAACAAGGAGGGAUACUGCAGAACCCAGUUUAAGUGGUGAUUGUCAUCUAGUGGAGAUCCACUUUUAACCCAAGAUAGUUUUAUUUCAAACCGAGGUCAAGGAAAUGAAAGGUCCUUUUGGCAUGCGUCAGAUAAAUCAGGCUGCCUUUGCCAAACCUCCUGCUGAUAAAUCCUGUGUUUCCCUGGUUCAACUCUUAAACAGUUUGUGAGAGUGGGAGAUGAAGGACAAGGCAAGAUCUCCUACUCUAGUCUCAUUUUCCCCAUCUAGCCGUCACCUUCAUUUCUUAGUUCCUUGAAAAUAGAAAAACAAAAAAGCCAUCCCUGCCAUACCUGGUGGGAAAGCACUGGAGUUGAACUUGUCACCCUCUUAAUCCUUUUAAGAUGAUAGAGCGCUGAUUUGUACAUCUAAUUACCGAAGCCUAAUUAUUGCGGCACCGAAAUCAACUUGGCACAAGAAAAUGUGUGCCACAUUCCCAGGAAUAAGACCCAUUGGUCUCGUUCUUUUCAUGUUAGUGGUGACCUUAUUUACAGUCUUGUUCAAAAGUAAACUUUGUCAGAGAUUCAAAGUCAUCCCUUACAGGCAUCUUAAGUGCAAGCCUAAAAUGGGUGUUGUGAGAAGGUGGGUAAUGAAGUUAGGCUUCACAAGUGGAAAUUACUAAUUUAUUAGAGUUCUUUGAGAUGGAAAAUAGGCAUGUAGAUAAAGGAAAACCCAUAGAUGCAUUCUACAAAAUCUUUAAAAAGCACUUUUGAAAAUGUUCCACACUGAGAGUUACUAAUAAAUGUAAAUGCUAUAUUCCUAGGGUGAAGGAGAACUCUUUUAUCUCAGAAACUAAAGUUGCUUAAGAUAUGAAUAUAAAAUGUUCCAGAACAUGCAUGAUUAUUAUUAUUUCUUGUAUAGGAAGAAACCAGAAAGAAAAAGAAUGGGGCUCCCUGGAGUCAAGUUGUGAUGAAUUAUGUUUAACACACCUAGUUCAUGAUGUUAAUGAGUGGCAUGGUUCCAGGGGCAUGACUCACUACUAAAUACUUUGUGUCAGUAGAUCAUGACCAUGACCCAGAUAGCUUUAUUUUAAAAUCUUAAACCCCUGUUUGAAAAAAGAGCUUCGUAUUUUAAAUAUUUUAGACUCAGCAGCAAUAAAUGUUUUUCACACAUUUUCGUGUGUAUGUGUGUGUGUGUGUGUGUGUGUGUGUGUGUUGAGCUAGGGAUAGAAACACUCUAUCACUGAGCCACAUCCUCAAUUGCCUGACAUUUUAGAACUAAUUUGUUCUUUGCCAGGCACUCUGCUGAGAACUUCAUGUGAAUUAAUUAUAUUAUCAUCAUUUAUAAAACCAUACAGAUAUCACUGUAUCCAUUUUACAGGUUAAGUAACUGAGGUACCAAGCAGUUAAAUGAUUUUUCCAAAAUCAUGCAGUAAGUGGCAGGGAUCCAAGUAUGUAAAGUAAAAUUGUUCUUAAUGAGGAUGUAGGAGAAGAAAAUGAGCAGUAUUGAUGAUUCAGUCUGCAGUGCUUCCCCAAAGACCUUAGGUAUAGUCACUUCUAUUGAACAUUGUACUUCAGCUAGGAACAUAUUUAUUAGCCUUCAUUGGCUAUUAAUUUUUUGGAAUAGGUACCACCUGUUAGUAAUAUGGCAUUAAUGAUGAGAAAGAACAUAAUAGCAACAAAUCACUGGAUUUUCCUCUCUAUUUACUGAUCAGGAAUCAGUUCCUUUUGUUUUGAUUUUGCUUUGGGAUGUGUGUGUGUGUGUGUGUGUGUGUGUGUUCAGAUUCAGGCAACGACAUAGGUUUAUGGAGGCUUAGUAAAUAGAAACAGUGGAAUAAGAAGUGAAAUCAUGGAUUUAUUUUCAAAAGUGAAUCAAGUGUGUGUGUGUGUGUGUGUGUGUGUGUGUGACACAAUCAGAUUAUGCUGUGGACCUGCACUGGGAGAGGCUGGGGAUAAGAUUGAUCAGAGUUGUCCUUACUUUUUCACAUGGCUCUUAACAUCUUCCUGUUAUGGUAGGAUAUGAGUGUGGACAUUGAUAGUAGGUAUAACGUGAUAUUUUAUUUCAGGAUAGCAUUAACUAAGCAAAAUCAAGAGUCUGUCAGAUUCUUGGGUGAUAGCCAUGAGUUAACAGAAAGAGCCAAACAUUUUAGUGUAGAAUUUCCAUGAAUCAUUGAAUCUGUAUUACUGUAUAACUCCAUCUAUGUAGGUGUUUCAUAUGCAUGUCUUCUCUCACUGAUAAGAUUAGAAGCGUCUAGAAAACAAGAACAGUGGCUACCACUAUUCUGUGCCCUUUAACACCCAGCAAAACAUGGACAUCAAUAAUUAAACUGAAUUCAAUUGUAAUAUGUUAAAUCAUUAAUUGCUCUUUGUCUGUUUUUGUGAUCUGAAAGGUGAUGUGUCCCUGUCUGUGUUAUUCAAUUUAAGGUUUCAACCACUUUUCAUUUAAUUUAAGUUGAAUGAGAGAAAAUGCAAACUACAUGACACAUCAUGUAUUAAUAUUAACUUCAUAUACAAAAUAUUUUCACAAAAGCAAGACUUGCUCUCAGCUAUACUUUAGAAAAAUCAUAUCAUUGUACCUUUAUCAGUUUGGUUAGUAACUAAAGAUAAUGGGUAAAAUUUCUGGAAGGAACUUCUCAUUAAAAUAAAUAAAAACCUAAGGCUAGUCCUAAUACAAAAAAAGUUUGCAUACUAUUUUUUUUCAUGGACAUCAUAAAUUCACCAAAGCAUCUUACACAUUUUGUAGGCUACUUCUCAUUAAAUGAAAAAAAGGGGGGGGGGGAAGCAUUUACCAAUGUCCCAAAGAAAUAACAAUCUAAGUCAGCAUGAUUAUAUAUUUACUACAAAGUACAGUACAUUUAUUCUAACAUUUCCCCACCUGGAAAAACUGGGCUUAAGUAUCUUCUGUAAUCAACAAGCAACACUGCAUUCGUCCCAAAAUGCCAUGUCACCUUUGUAGCAAAGUCAGACACUUGCUGGAAUGGGACUUGGGAGUGGUGAUGGUGAUUGCAAAGGUUCUGAUGUAGAAAUUGCAGAUGGAGAGCGGGGCUCUGGGGAUGGACAUGGAAAGAAGCAGAAAAGAGCCUGGAGAAAAGGCUGUCAUAUUUUCUUGGAAGAACCGCCAAAUCAGAGAGCAGAGAAGAUUUCAUUGGAGGAGCUCCGUCAACGGCAACUAAUCCUGUCAUAUUGAAAGCAAAUUGUAAAUGUUCUCUCCAGAAAUUGUCCGUCCAUUGCAGCUAAUCGAACACAAACACAUGAAUACAGACACGCUCCUGCUGUACCCAAGCCGAAGACAGCCAGGCACAGAGACCUACUACAGUGAGCGCGCGCGCGCACACACACACACACACACACACACACACACCAGCUUGCGGGGUUGGCCAGAGCCUUGGAGUCUCAGAUUCCACUAGGAACUCGCCAGAGGGAUUGGAAUAAGUGUUGCUCUCCCCACACUAAUUACUACUUCCCCAGGCACUUUAGUGAAGAAAUGAAUCCCGCCCAGCCCGCCGGCACAUCCAGGUCUCGGUUCUAUUUUGGUCUCCAGACUUAUCUUCGUGAAGUCCAGGUUUGAAAGUCUCAUUUGCUUCUUUUUUGGUGGUUUGGUGUGGAGGGUGGGGGCAGCAUCAAUUUAACUCCAGUCUAAAUCGCGAACCUGUCCCACAGUGUCCAAGUGACUGGGACCGGUGUGGGGUGCGCGACUGUGCUUGCGCGCGCGCGCAAGCCCCGCAGCUCCUGCCAGAGCCUUUGGGUCCGUAGUCUCCCCGCCUCCCCCGCCCCACCCCUCCAGUGUCGCGGCGCCAACUAAUCUUUGCCUUUUCUCUUUCAAGAUCAAGGGAGAAAGCAAGGCGGAGGCUGGCUUUGGACUCUAAGCGGUGCGCAGCUCGCGCCGGAGUGGCCGACCCAGAACCCGCGAAGGGUUCCUCGCUCCAGCUAGCCAAAUCGCAGCCAGGGGUGACCACAGGAGCUAAACCAACAGCAGGUAAGAGCGCCCUGCUACCCAAUUCUCCGCUUGCCCACACCAGGGACCCUGGUGCCAGGGGUUUCCUCCCAAUCUCCCUACCCUGUACACUGAGAGGUCGCGGUUUUCGGGGAAAUGGAGGGGGGUCCCUGACACUUGCAUAUUUUCCAAAGGAAACUUUAGCCCCUGAGGCUUGGAGUUAUGAGGGCAGCGAUGGUCGGUCUAGAAAGAAGGGGGAAAUGAGGCACAGCGCAGGGUGCGGGCGCGAUUACGCGGGUCACGGAGACCGGAGGAAUGUGGCGAAAGCAGCGUGGGAGACGCGCUGCCCCGCAGCAUCACUCCUUAGAGCAUGUCAUUCUCUCCACUGUCACUGAACCUUCUCCCAGUCAACCCCUCAGCCCAGAUGCCUUCAUGGAAAAGACUAGGAGAGCUUUGCUUCUUCCGCCCUCAAGCUCCUUUCUGCUCGGGGUCUGACCACGUCGUCUGUGCGUUAGGGUGGAGGCCCUGCUGCUCUUCUCUCGGUGUUGUCCCUGACUCCGCCUUCGGAGCAGCCCCUUCAGCGCAGGAGAGAGGGUUGGCAUUGCGGUCCCUGUAUCAAGGCAAAGGGGCAGGUGAAUAAGAAUGGGGCACGGUUUCCAGGACAAAAGAGAAGGAAGCGUUCAGCCACCCAAUCCAAUUUGUGACAGGCGCACAAGGUUGGCGGCCCGCCGCCACUGUAAGACAGGGUCCCAGCUCCGAACUGGUGAGGUGCAAGAUAGUGCCUGGGCUUUGCCACCCAACUCGCGGUGGGGACUGGAUCAGCCGACAGGGCCAUGAGGUCGUAGACAGGAAGCUGCGUGCCCUGAAUGUUCCUCGCUGGACCUGGGCAAUCCCCGCUAACUUGUAGCUUUCGGAACCCGCGAGGUGCGGACGGUCCAAGCGCAGUGGGGCGUAGAACACGUAGAAAUUCCACCUGUGCUCUCUGCCCCGCGCCCCUGGUGUGACCCCCGUGGAGUAGGUGGAGGUUUGCCUAGCAGAGAGCUCCUGUAGUGAAAUUCACCCAAGUUAUUGACUCAGAGUGGGCACACACCCCGAGCUUCCGUGCUCCUUCAGCACCGCAAACCUUUCUCUACUUCCUGCAAGUAGCUGUCCUCGAGGCUGCUCUGAGCCAUCAAAUCAUCCAAGGGAGGGUCGACCGACCCGCCAGUCCCUGUCUGUGAUUCCAAGACUCUAGCAUAUAUGGAAAUAUCCGCGGAGAGAAUCGCUUGAGAGGAGGGAGGAGAGCAAAAAAAUGGAGGUAAACGCUUAAGGCAAAUAGAACUGCCCGCUGACAUGUCACCCAAGCCGCCCUCUUGUGUCCUUAUGUCAGUUCACAGCCAUGGCAUGUUUGUGACUGCAGCUAUCCAGGGCUCCAAGUGCCCGCCCAGGAGCGGCGAGCCCUGCCAGAGAGUGGCGCCUCCUGGUCCUCAAGCUUGAAAUGGAAUCCCCCCACAUUGACUUUCUUUUUCCAUUACCUUCUGUUUUUUUUUCUUUCUUUUCUUUUCUUUUCCUUUUGUUUUGUUUUGUUUUUCUUGCUUUUUUCUUAGCAUUGGGUGUCUAAGAGUACUUUGGCAGGCUUGUGGUGUGUCUGUCCCCUAGUACACUCAACCAGAGACAAAAGCACACGUCCCCAUCCCCACGCUUUGUCUCAUACACACCAGCGCUCUGUGCACAGUCUGGACAGCCCGGGGCAUCUGUGGCCAGGGCACCGGCAUGGGGAGGGGACCCGCACAGCAGAGGGGAGCCAGCUGACUCCAGAAGUAACUCUGGAACGACUAGAAAGGCCUGCAGUAAAACUAUAUUUGGAUGGGGAGUGUGGAGGGGGAGGCUCUGGGAGGAACGACUCUGCGCUUCCCCUAUGUAGAGCUUUGAGUGCUCCAGAGGCUGCUGUACCUCAGGCCUCUGUCCCUACUGCACAGGCCACUGGUUGUCCCCACAGAAGCCCACCGGACAGGGCAGCAUCCUUACUCUAGCCUGCCCAGGGAAGUCCAAUGACCUAGUGCUGGGGUGCGCCAGAACCUCUCUUCACUCUUUGCAAUCCUGUGUCCCUGGAUUGAAGAAGCUCUAAAAAUAAAGCAGGUCAUAAACUCCAGGUUAACUAAUUCCGGAUUGUAAGGCGAAGCCCUUCACAUUGUACUUUGCUUUUAAUGGGGAUAUGUGUAUAAACAGUCAUGAUAAGGAUAUGGUAGAAGGUGUGCGUGUGUGUAUAAAAUAAGAAUUUUCAUUUUUAAGUAAAUAAUAGGGAUGAUGAUACUAGGAACCAGUACAAACCAGUAACAAUUAGGCAUUAGGCAUAUGUGUAUCAUCAUUGUUGGGGGAUGAUAACCAAGGCACUGAUGAUUGUAGAAGUAAAACCACUUGAUUUGGCCAAGAAACAGUUUCAUGCUGGGAACUCCAUUAGGCUGCAAUUCAGAGAGUGGACUUUUGAGACUCUGGUCAAAUGGAUGGUAAAAUUCUGUGCCAGCAAUAUCGCAGCUUUGCAGGCUGGGCAGUUAAGGUCUCAAGAAGUAACGCUAAUGCCAUAAUAGUUUUCUAUUAUUAUUAAGAUUAUUAAUAGAGGUGCUUCAGUUGUGGAAAUAUGAAAGAUAAGCAGCUUCCCAUUUACUCUGUUUGCUUUACUGUACUAAAUAACAGUUCCAACUACACUUAAAAAUAAGACUUAUCCUUAAAAGAUAUAGGGACUCCAGCCAGGUUGGUUUGUUUGAAAGCUCUGUGAAUGAGGUGAGCUGGGCUUGGUUGAAAGUCCUAGGACUCAAAAUUCAGAGUAGAAUGCCUGACAGAUGCUUUGUCUUCUGAUAAAAGCAAAAGGCAAUGUUUGUUUAUAUACGUGUGCCUGAGGGUGCCUGGAGGGGAAAUGGAAUGAGAAAGUAAGUGGAUUUGAAUAUCCCUAUCAUAGUUCAAGUACAAGCAAACUCAAAGAACAUGUUUGCAGCUCUUAACUGACUUCAGAGACAGAUGUGGAAGAAACCAGCAGUUCAAACCCAGGUAAAAUUCCUUUUGGAAUGAUUUCCCAGAUUCUCUCAAUUUGGGAAGACAGAGAUGGCUAUCAUUACAUUAAAAACAACAACAGGCUGGGGAUAUAGCUCAGUUGGUAAAGUGAUUGCAUUGCAUGCACAAGGCCCUGUUCAAUCCCCAGGAAAAAAAGAAAAAAAAAACACCCAAACCCCCCCACCAACAACCAACAGACUACAUUGCUCUAAAUGUGAUGUUGGCAUCUUCCAGACAAUCCCCAAAGUCAGACAGCUGUAUAUAUGUCCACUAGGCAGUUUCCCAAUUCCAAUCCUCAGCAGCCAGCCCCCAGGACCAAGGGCACAAGAGGAAUGGAUGGGCAGUUUCAGAGGUAGGAAGAAAAUAGCACAGUCACCAGCCUGCUGGCGGAGAGGGAAGACAUGGAAGGUAUAAAUGGCACAACCAUCAGUGGAGAAUAAGCUGGCUAAUUAGAAGUCACCCUCUGACCCUUGGCAAUGAAUAAAGUUAAAACAAGUACAAAGGAGGAGGAAGAAGAGAAUACAGAAUAGAAUGAGAGAGAAAAGAGGAGGGAACAAACGGGAAAUGGGGGAAGGAGAGCAAGAAUCUGUGGGGGUGUGUGCUGUUUUUUCACAGUGCAGGGAUCAUCUUCUGUCCCUAUGUUGGCCUUCUUUAGGUUAUUGUGUGAAGACCCAUUGUUUUAAUAUUUAUUUUUUAGUUAUAGGUGGAAACAAUGUCUUUAUUUUACUUUAUGUGGUGCUGAGGAUCUAGCCCAAUGCCUCACACAUGUUAGACAAGCGCUCUUCCUCUGAGCCACAACCCCAGCUCCCCCAUACUUAAUCUUAAAAUUUCUUCCUUUUACUCAGCAACAUAGAGAUAGAUAAACAUUUUAUUACACGGUUUGCUUGAAGGGCUGAUCUUCUUCAUUGAAACUGAUACUGGAGUUGAUCCAUUAUUUUAUGAUGUGGGGUCUCUGUCACACGCCUCCUUGUGUUGAACACUGUCAAUAUCUUCCUUGUGGCUAUUAACAACUGGCUUUUGUUUCCUAUCAUCUGUUCCCAUUCUGUUUCCCUUUGGCUCACUGAGAAAAUGUUAGGACUCCUUUCAUUAAGGGUCAUCAAUUCAAGUGUGAGGACUACAUCCCCAAGCUUCUCUGCAUUCCCAAGCUUAACUGAGUUGUGUUGUGGUUUUGGUGGUGUUUGUUUUAUGGGGGGAUGGGAAACAGGUCAUCUUUCAUUGGGCAGGUAUCUUCAGAGUAUGUCAUAAGUCUCUGGUACCAUCCCAAUCAGCUUACACGUAUUAUAUUAUGUGUUUUGUUAGUGCUCUAUAUUUCUUUAUCUUCACAACUUAAGAUAGUGCCAGGCACAUCCUAGGGACUUAUUUUAUCUUUGUUCACUGAGUAAAUAGAUUAUUUGAUUUUUCUCAUUUCAUCAUUGCAACAAAAUAUGAAGCAGCUGCUAUUUUUCUGGUUUUGUAGGAGAGGAAACCAGCAUUCAAAGGGUCCUAGAUCAUACAGCCUGUAUGAUGCAGCCCCUGCAUGCAAACGCAAGCCUGUCAGACUCCAGUCUUCACUCCUGUACUGUGCUGAUUGGUUGUCUAUACAUAGCUGUAUCAUUUGUUUCUCCCUAUGUUUAGGGAAUGCAAACUGUUGUAUUCAGAGUUCAAUGACGUUCUACCCAUCUGUUUAAUUCAACUUUGCAUGUUCUUGUUGGAUCCCCUAAACCCUAAGCAAAGAAGAUUCAGUGCCAACAAGAUUCUUAGUUGGCACAACAUGCUUAUUCUAUUUAGUCAGUGAUUGCCUCCGGCAGGGGAAAACAAAGGCACCCAAAUUACCUGACAUUUUGGCAGAUGCCAUUUCCACUUCUCAGCUAUACUGAGAUAUUACUAAAUGGAUUUUGUUUUGUCUGAAGCAAAAAAAAAAAAAAGAGGAAUUUUGGUAUCAUCCAGUCGAACUCAUGACAAGUGUUGAAGUGGACAAAUAGAGUUUCCCAAGGUGACACAGCUAACCAAGAGCUUGGCAAGAACACCCACAUGCCAGCUUCCAGUCUACUGCCUCUUCAUUUGGCCAUGCUGAAUGAGCAUCUCUUUCUUUUGGGGGCAUUUAAAGUUCUGAACUUCAGUGGCUUCAUUUACUUUUAAUUAGACAUUCUUGUCCACCUUUACUUUGAAAGGCAUAACAUGACUUUGUGAAUUGCUACUAACAAAAGAUGAGGUGGGUUCCAGUUCGUUUGCCUCCUUCUACUCCUUAUAUAUUUUUGUCUUACUUUAUUUCAUUUUCUUCUUUCGUUAUUCACAUGUUCAAGCUCCUUUUAUACUAUGACCUAAAUAUACAAUCAUCUUAACUGGUGCUGUUACCAUGGUAAUGUUUCAUGGUAGAUAAGGGUAUACACUAAAAAACCAGUUUCUUUCAUUAGUAAUGGAAUUCUUUCUCACCCCACCCCUUCCCCCUACAGUAAAGCUUUCGCUGACUGAUGCCCUCUGGUGUUCAGUAACAGGAAGCACACUGAUUUGGACAGGAUAAGGACAUUAUUUUUAAAGCUUUGUGUGUGUCGGGGGGGUUGCCGGGUGGGGGGGUGCGGAUUCCAAUUUCAAUUACAAUUUGAAAUGGACAUAAGUAAGAAAGAUUUUUAAUUAAUAUAAUUGAAGCAAGGAGAUUACAAUGAAGUAUUUGUUUUUGCAUUGUUUAGUGUUAUGUACUGUGCAGCAUUCUAGACAAUUAUUGCAAAGGGAGGGAUAUUUGUAUCCUUUUAUACCUAACAUUGUGAAAAUGUGUCUAUGGGAGAAAUAAGAGAUUCCACUGAGAUAUCUUUUAGAGAACCCAAUAGAAUAUUCUAUAUGUUUCAGUCUUUAAGACUUCAAAAUGGAAGUCUUCUCUCUUUAGAAUGGAAACCAUUUUUCUUGCGGGAAAUAUUUGGAAGCUUUAUUUUUUCUAUGAUUAUAUGAACAAUAUGAACUCUAAUUUCAAUUUCACAUUAUUUUUAAUUACUAAAGAUAUAAUGAACUGGAAAUGAGGCAGAUGUACUACCAACAGCUUUUCAUUCUUCCUCACACCAAAGUCUAUAUUCCUCCAAUCCAGUAAGUCUAUCCCUGAGAUCUCUAUAGGAUCUAUCCCCUCCACUCCAUCGGCACGUCUUUUCAGACCUUUAGCACCUCUCGCAUGGACUAUUACCAGAGCCAUAUGUUUCUAACUGGUCUCCUGCCCUUCUGUCUUUCUCUAGUACAAUCUAGUCUCUCAAUGCUAGAAUGACCUUUCUAAAAUGCAAAUCUGAAGAUGUAAUUUUCUUGGGAAAAACUUCAGGGUUUCUUGACUGUUUUGGAUAAACCCUGAUAUAACUCUCUCAAGAUCUGCCAUAAUUGAGUAAAGCUAUUUGCCUGAUGGAUCUCACCCACCAUUUCUUCAUUCUUCAACUGCACAGGAGGGAAUACUCAUAAAUAGCUAUACGAGUAUAAUGAUUGGUACAUAUGUCAAAAUAUUUCUUUUUAUUCUCCACCUCUUCUCCUUCUUCUUUUUCAUGUAACUUUGUGUGCUCACUGUAUCAAAAAGCAAUGAUAAACUGCAUUCUUGCUAAUAUAUAUAUAAUCGGUAUAAUGAUAAUGUAGCUUUGCUGGCAUUUAAUAUACAAAGAAGUCUUUUGGAAAGUGAAAAUGUGAGUUUCUUUUUUUAUUUUAAUGAGCUCUGGGGAUUUGGGUGAAUCAUAUUCCUGGAUUAAACUAAAUUAUUCACAAAAUACCAAUUCUAGGCAACUUAGAUGAUUUUAUCUGGUGCCGAUAACAGAUAAUAACUAGAAGUUGUGAGGGAUAUAGAGGAGGUCUCAAGUGAAAGCAGAGGCCACAUGUUUUACAAAUGAUAGCACUAUUUAUUUAAAUGUAUCAGCAGUAGGGAGAAUUGACUUUUUUUUUAACAUUUCACUGUCUUUUCCCCAAUUUUUGUCACAGUUUAUAAUUCCAUUAGUAUUCAUAUUUCCCUUUUUUUUGUAUCAGAGAAGGUAUAAGCUUCUUCAUGGGUUAAAUACUAGUUUAAGGUCAGAUUUCCAGCUCAUGGAAAAUGGAAUAGCAACAACAAAACUGAAGACCUAAAUCUUUCAGAUAAAUAAAAAUAAAUAAUAAAAGCAUGGCAACAGGGCAAUGUUUUGAAGCUAUCUGUAUUUAUUUGGCUCAUAAAAGCAAGACCUCUCUUGCUACAUAUCCUUGAAUGGUGACAUCUUACAGGAAUGAAGAUUCUCCUUAACAGUCAAUAUUCAUAGUAGUUUAAAUGACAAGAUUUUGAAUUAGUGAAGUCCUCACUAUCUUCUAAGAAGUCUUUAAAAAACAGAUUAAUUCACAGGUUAAGUAGCUAAAAUACUUUAUUGCUCUUGCAGAGAUUAUAAGUCAGCAAGUUGAAGAUGACUCCCAGGAAUCUAGAUUUUUAACAAGCACCUGACAUGAUCGUGAAGUGGAUAAUCAUAUUUUACAUAAUUGUAGAAUGAAAAAUUGGAAGCUAAGGGGCAUUGAGGAGGAAAACAGAAAGCUCAGCUCCAUGUGGGUUCUCCAUCCCCAGGUGCACCAAGGCCCAGAGAGAGAGUACUGAGUUGUGGCUGGAGACUCUUUGAUUCCCUAGGCAGAUUCUAGUGUCAGUGAUGAAUCACAGUUCAGGAGGGCAGCCGUAAAUAAAGAUGCUUCUCUUCCAUUUUCUAUGGAACCUACAUACCUAUUUGUUUGACUGGAGCACAAUGCCACCUGCAUACCUUAUGUUCUUAGUCCUAACCGCUUAAGAAAUAAGUAUGCCCUUUUCUUUUCUAAGACUUGAUUCAUCUUUUCUCUUUCACAGUCCUCUUCUUUGUGCAUCUUCUCAGAUCAUAAAUAUCUUCAUGACUUUGAAGCUCCUCUGUGUUCUCUUCUAUACAACGUUCUGUCUAGAUUUUCUGGGAGACCUAGUUGAAUGGAGCAUCUGGCCCUCUUCCUCCUUCUCUCUCUCAGCCUCAGAUAGGGGAGGGACAGUGUAUCUGAGACAACUGUAUUAAAGGUGAAAAGGGAUGCAUUUGGCUGUUAGUAUUGCAAAAUGUUGGAGCACCAUGAUUAACCUGAAUAACACAUUGAUAUAAUAUCAAAUCUCCUCUAUGAAUCAGAACAUUGUAAUAACUUUUCCUGAUGUUAUUGUUUACUCUUAAUCAUCAGGAUGAUUCUUCUGUUUUAAUAAAAGAAAAGAAGCUUUUUUCCUACCUCACCAUCCAUGCAUGCCAAUAAACAGGAUGAAAUUCUGUAGGAAGGCAAGCUUCUUGUUUCUUGAUUAUUUAAUUAACUACUAAGGAACUCUUUACAAGGGUCAAGACGUGGAGCUAAAGAAUUACCUGAAGGAUAAUUUCCCUCACUUUUCACAAAAGCUAAGCACAGAACAAUUUGAUAGAUAGGAGAAAUUAAAUAAAUUUCAUACACAAUUUCAUGUUGUUGAACUUGUACCUUCCUCAGCACUGUUGACUGUGGAAAAAGUUUCUCCCAAAACCAGCAUGAAAACAGGGAAAGAGAGAAAUUGCACUUAAUUGUAUUCUUUUGAGGACUUCUGGUUUUAUUUUAGGGAGAAGAUAAAGAGC